AAGUCGUAACAAGGUUUCCGUAGGUGAACCUGCGGAAGGAUCAUUAACACGUUAUCCACGUAUCAACCAAUAGCGAACCGUUUUCAAUAUCUCCCUUUAUAGAUUAACUGAGCUGAACCGAUCUGCAGGUAGAGUGGGCCACCGAAAGGGGUACUGCAGGACGGUCAACUGAAUUAAGGAAUGAGUUCUCAAUGUUUACUCUUGGAAUUUGUUCUGGUUUGUUCGACGGCUGUAUUAAUCGUAAAGACUAAAAGUCUUAUUAUGAAUGCUUCUGCUACUGCAAGUCAUAAUAGGGCGACCCCCCCAAAUUAACUUAUUUAACCCCCUUUUUGCUAGUUGACUUUUAUAUGUUGUUCUUUGCGAAAGCAUGGAGCACACGUUUAUUUAUUUGAACGUUAAAAAUACAACUCUUAGCAAUGGAUAUCUUGGUUCUC
rnacentral:misc_RNA from 1 species